rnacentral:rRNA from 1 species
AACGAACGCUGGCGGCGUGUUUAAGACAUGCAAGUUGCACGGGAUAAGACAUGUAGUAAUACUUGUUUUAUUUAGUGGCGCACGGGUGAGUUACACGUGAAUUACAUGCCCUAUAGUGGGGAAUAGCCCAGGGAAACUUGGAUUAAUACCCCAUGGUAUCGAAAGAUUAAAGGUGGCCGCAAGGCUGUCGCUAUAGGAUUGGUUCGCGCCCUAUCAGCUUGUUGGUGAGGUAACGGCUCACCAAGGCAAUGACGGGUACCUGGUCUGAGAGGACGAGCAGGCACACUGGAACUGAGACACGGUCCAGACACCUACGGGUGGCAGCAGUCGAGAAUAAUUCACAAUGGGGGCAACCCUGAUGGUGCAACGCCGCGUGGAGGAUGACGGUCUUCGGAUUGUAAACUCCUGUCAUCUGGGAGAAAGACCUGACGGUAAAUAGCCGGCAGGGUUGAUAGUACCAGAAGAGGAAGGGACGGCUAACUUCGUGCCAGCCGCCGCCGUAA